rnacentral:rRNA from 1 species
GACGAACGCUGGCGGCGUGCUUAACACAUGCAAGUCGAACGGAAAGACCCUGCUUUUGUGUGGUGCUCGAGUGGCGAACGGGUGAGUAACACGUGAGUAACCUGCCCUUGACUUUGGGAUAACUUCAGGAAACUGGGUCUAAUACCGGAUAGGAGCUCCUGCUGCAUGGUGGGGGUUGGAAAGUUUCGGCGGUUGGGGAUGGACUCGCGGCUUAUCAGCUUGUUGGUGGGGUAGUGGCUUACCAAGGCUUUGACGGGUAGCCGGCCUGAGAGGGUGACCGGCCACAUUGGGACUGAGAUACGGCCCAGACUCCUACGGGAGGCAGCAGUGGGGAAUAUUGCACAAUGGGCGGAAGCCUGAUGCAGCAACGCCGCGUGCGGGAUGACGGCCUUCGGGUUGUAAACCGCCUUCGCCUGUGACGAAGCGUGAGUGACGGUAAUGGGUAAAGAAGCACCGGCUAACUACGUG